rnacentral:sRNA from 1 species
CCCUAGCCCUGAUGGAAGCGGCAUCCUUUUAUGUCUGCCGCGGCAGACGGAAAAGAUAUAGCGUACAGCAGGAAUCAGC